rnacentral:rRNA from 1 species
CGCAACCCUUGCCUUUAGUUGCCAGCAGUUCGGCUGGGCACUCUAAAGGGACUGCCGGUGUUAAACCGGAGGAAGUGGGGAUGACGUCAAGUCCUCAUGGCCUUUAUGACCAGGGCUACACACGUACUACAAUGGCCGAUACAAAGGGCAGCGACACUGCGAGGUGAAGCCAAUCCCGUAAAAUCGGUCUCAGUCCGGAUUGGAGUCUGCAACUCGACUCCAUGAAGUUGGAAUCGCUAGUAAUCGUGGAUCAGCAUGCCACGGUGAAUACGUUCCCGGGCCUU